GUGGGGGUAGUCGAGCGGUCUAAGAUACCCGGUUGUGGCCCGGGAGAACGCUGGUUCAAAUCCAGCCCCUCACU
rnacentral:tRNA from 1 species